CCCUUAGAUGUUCUGGGCCGCACGCGCGCUACACUGAUGCGUUCAACGAGCCUAUCCUUGACCGACAGGUCCGGGUAAUCUUUGAAUCUGCAUCGUGACGGGGAUAGAUUAUUGCAAUUAUUAAUCUUCAACGAGGAAUGCCUAGUAGGCGCAAGUCAUCAGCUUGCGUCGAUUACGUCCCUGCCCUUUGUACACACCGCCCGUCGCUCCUACCGAUUGGGUGUGCUGGUGAAAUGUUCGGAUCGGCCGUUUGUCGCGGUUUCCGCGUCAUGUGGCUGAGAAGUUCAUUAAACCCUCCCACCUAGAGGAAGGAAAAGUCGUAACA
rnacentral:rRNA from 1 species